CAUGCUCUCAUGAUAUUCUGAGCAUCACAGCGCUUACGCGGAGUUGUUCAUAGAAGACGGAUUGGCUAAGACUAGAACCAUUUCCAUUUUCAUUUAUGCAAAGAGGGUUAAGGUGCACGCAGAGAGGGCUACCGCAAAUAGAAAGUCAGCAAGAUGGAAGAAUGAAAACAGUAUUCUGUAUAUAUUCUUUCGAUAUUGCUAUAGCAGCCACCAUAGCGAAUUUGUGCUUCGGAAUCUCUGGCAUAUUCUAGCUAUGAGGAAAUAUCUGGGUUCCCACUUUCUGGUUGGUUUGACCACGAUAAUCAUAUUAACGUCGGCGAUAAAUGAUCUAUGCUCUCUACGCACACACGCUUCUCCGCUUCCCCGUCAUACAUUGACGUCGAGCUCUUCAGGCCUAUCAAAUACCGGAAGACAAGUUACACCAGGAUCUCAUCAUUCGCACUCUCCCCAACAACGCCAUCAACACCAACAGCAGCUCCACCAGCCACCGCACAACCAUGUUCAUCAUUCCCAAAACAACCACCCACAAUACGGACGACUUCGUCAGCGCCGAAAUGCAGAACCAGAUAUCUGGAAGCCAAUUCGCCAAAGGCAACGAAAUGUUCCUAACGGCGCGCAUGUCUAAGCAGCGUUACUUUAGUAACUCAUAUUUACAGAAUGCAAGCUGCUGGGAACAAGGGAGUAUAUUUAUCCGCGUUCCCUAUUGCACCCGAUUUAAAUAGCAUUUGGUUUUAGGGCUAAAUACUUGACCAAGUGGAAGCCACGUGACCAAUUUCCCAUGGUUGCUUUCAUAAUGUACACUGCAUAAGGAUGUGAAGGCCGCCAGUUAACAGAAACUAUAGUACAGUGGGCUUACUACUGCGGUAAAGUGCAGCAUGAGAAAUAAAAUAAUUACAUCAUAUUCUAUACCUUGGCUGAACGAUUAAUCGAUUGGUUGGUUGAAUAAAUAAUAUUUUGUUCCUUCC